ACCCCAGCCCCCCCCCCAAUAAUUUCUUUAAAUAGUAUAUUCCCCACCUUGUGGGCAGUGGUCAAGUUUAGCAGUGGAGGGGCCUGGCGUUUCUGGGGGCAGCCUGAUGGUUCACCUUAUGUGUCGACUUUCCUGAGCUAAAGGUGUCCAGGUAGCUGUUUACGCAUGAUUUCUGGGUGUGUCUUUGAGGGUGUGUCCAGGCGAGAUGAGCAUCUGAGUUGUGGACUGCAGGAAGCAGAGGAACCUUCCCAAUGCAGUGGGAAGAGCAACUAGGCAGAGGAAAGGCAGGGUCUUUCUCUCCUGAGCUGGGACAUUCUUCUCCCUGUUCUUGGGCCUUUGGACUCAGACUGGGACAUAUACCAUUGGCCUUCAGUUCUCCGCCCUUCCGUUUGGGGCAGGAGCUGUAGACUGGCUUUCCUGGAGCUCCAGCUUGCAGGUGGUGGUAGCAGGACUUCUUGGACUCUCUGAUUAUGUGAGCCAAGCCGUCUUUCUAUAUACAGACGGCCCCUGACUUACAGUGGUUUAAAAUACAAUCUUUCAGUUUUACCAGGGCACGAAAGCGAUAUGCGUUCAUUGGAAACCACGCUUGAAAUUUUGAUCUUUUCCUGAGUCAGCACUUUCUGAGCGGACCCUCUCUCAAGAUGCUGUACAGUGAGCCAUAGCUCUGCCAGCCCAGCGACUACAAGGUGAAAUGACCCUCCGUGUGCUGCGCACUGACCCACAGUGUGCUGUGCUGCUCAGCCACGAAGCUCGGGACUCUUACGUGUCAACUGAGCAUGGCUUUACAGGGACAAGACCCCAUGCAGGUUGGGGAGCAGCCCUAUCUGUAUGUGCUCUGUGUCUCUGGAGAUCCCUGGCUAACACACAUUCCC
rnacentral:lncRNA from 1 species